UCAGGACCUCUUUUGUAUGUGACCUCGUAGGUUCUAUUCUGUCUGAUAGUGGAUUUAUUUUGAUCUCUAUCAAAAUAUCAUUGAAACUCCUUUCAAUGGAUUGAAACAAUUCUAACUCUAUCCAUCAAGGAUUAUUGAUCAUCAAGAUGAUGCUCGAUGAGCCUCAUGAUCCAUCAAUGACAGGUAGAGUAUAUAGUGGCAAUCCAAUAGAAUGGUAUAAUUGUCAUGUGAUUCGAUUCUUCUAUCGUAAGUCCUGAUAAGAUGGAGAUUAUGAAAAAAUUAUCAAACCCCAUCGUCUG
rnacentral:lncRNA from 1 species